GAGUUAUGUUUUCAGAUUUUGCAAGUCAUAAAAUUUUUUUUAGUGCUUCAAAUUUUUUCGUCCACCACCCUGAUCGGAGCAUUUUACAACGAGCCACCACCACUCAAAGACCUCUCAUUUUCUCUCCUCUUGUCCUUUUAUCGACGAAACAACCUCUCAUCUUCAUUAUCAGACCCUUCACACACUUUUUCCGGCGAGAUCCCCCACUAUUCCAACCAGAACCAAUAGCCAAACGACCACCAAAUCACCCCUGUUCUUCCUCGUUUAGCUCACCGGAAAACCACCUCCCAGAACCAGCCAUCACCACUUCUUUAUUCUACUCCAGACCACAGCAACUCCAACCCCACUACCACCUGAAACAACUCCUCCGCUAGACCCAAAACCCCAACCCUUUCUAGCCUUUUCCUGCUGCAAUAACGAGCCAGAGAGCUCGGAACUCAUGAAACCACCUGGCAGUCCCUUUCCCUCUCUCCCCUUUACGAUUCUGAUUUACUUUGUAGAUAUUCCGGCCAGCUCCAGCAACCUCGGUGAGCUUCAAAGCUGUGGCAAACAAAUCAAAACCCUCCAUCAAAAAUGGAGCUAAAGAAGCCAUUUACGGCAAGCUCAAAGCUCUAGACUGCAACUCCGAUGAACUGAACCAAAGAGCUCUGGGAUCGUGAGCCAACCAAGCCAGAGGCGAACUCAUCUUCUCCAACUCCAAAUCCAUACGAACCAACAAUUCCAUUUCCGACAAGGUGUUGGCAUCUGAAGAUGACAAAUGAUUCAAUAAGUGAGGAAGGACCUUCUAGAAGGUUUAGUUUAGGCUUACACCCCUGCGUGGGAUUGAUUAUUUGUAUGUAUUCUUUUGUUCUUUUUCUUAUUUAGUACCUUUUUGAAAUAUUGUAAAAUUAUACUAAGUGUUUUGGGUGCGAUGCAAUGUUGUCAAAGGGCGCAAUACAUCCUUCAGAUCGAUAUGCCUACCCUUGGAAUAAAAGGGUCGCAUAUUUGUAUAUGAUGCACCAUAAUUGUUUGUAUGUUAUGUGAGUAUAUAAUUGAGUUUGUCUUCAAUCAAAACAGUGAUUAUAUGUUUAAUUCAAUAUUUUGUGUGAUA